AGUGAACGCUGGCGGUAGGCCUAACACAUGCAAGUCGAACGGCAGCACAGUAAGAGCUUGCUCUUACGGGUGGCGAGUGGCGGACGGGUGAGGAAUACAUCGGAAUCUACUUUUUCGUGGGGGAUAACGUAGGGAAACUUACGCUAAUACCGCAUACGACCUACGGGUGAAAGCAGGGGAUCUUCGGACCUUGCGCGAUUGAAUGAGCCGAUGUCGGAUUAGCUAGUUGGCGGGGUAAAGGCCCACCAAGGCGACGAUCCGUAGCUGGUCUGAGAGGAUGAUCAGGCAAACUGGAAAUGAGAAACGGUCCAGACUCCUAAGGGAGGCAGCAGUGGGGAAUAUUGGACAAAGGGCGGAAGCCUGAUCCAGCCAUACCGCGUGGGUGAAGAAGGCCUUCGGGUUGGAAAGCCCUUUUGUUGGGAAAGAAAAGCAGCAGGUUAAUACCCCGCUGUUCUGACGGUACCCAAAGAAUAAGCACCGGCUAACUUCGUG
rnacentral:rRNA from 1 species